rnacentral:ncRNA from 1 species
AAGAUAGAGGUGCGAGGAUCAAAAGUAACACACCCGAGGCUGCGGUAAGCCCGUGACGGUGUGCCAAAGGGGUCUUUGCCGAAGCCGGAUUCCACCGUGGUUGCACCGGCUGGGCGUGCGGACAACAUCCGUUCGACUGUCGCGGAAGCGGAGAGCUAUCGG